UACCGCGUGAGGGAGGAAGGCCUUGGGGUUGUAAACCUCUUUUGUCAGGAAAGAAAAUUUGACGGUACCUGAAGAAAAAGCAUCGGCUAACUCCGUGCCAGCAGCCGCGGUAAUACGGAGGAUGCAAGCGUUAUCCGGAAUAAUUGGGCGUAAAGGGUCCGCAGGUGGCCAUUCAAGUCUGCUGUCAAAGCCAGUGGCUCAACCACUGAAAGGCAGUGGAAACUGUGUUGCUAGAGUACGGUAGGGGUAGAGGGAAUUCCCAGUGUAGCGGUGAAAUGCGUAGAUAUUGGGAAGAACACCGGUGGCGAAAGCGCUCUACUGGGCCGAAACUGACACUGAGGGACGAAAGCUAGGGGAGCG
rnacentral:rRNA from 1 species